AGUGUAGGCGGGAGAGCAAGUCAGGAGUUUAAUAUGCAGGCUUAACCUGUAAUCGGCUCUUGAAACUGCUUUUCUUGAGUAUGGGAGAGGAAGAUGGAAUUCCAGGUGUAGCGGUGGAAUGCGUAGAUAUCUGGAAGAACACCAGUUGCGAAGGCGGUCUUCUGGCCCAAUACUGACGCUGAGGCGCGAAAGCGUGGGGAGCGAACAGGAUUAGAUACCCUGGUAGUCC
rnacentral:rRNA from 1 species